rnacentral:rRNA from 1 species
CGGGUGAGUAACGCAUAGGUCAUGUGCCUCUUAGUUUGGGAUAGCCAUUGGAAACGAUGAUUAAUACCAGAUACUCCCUACGGGGGAAAGAUUUAUCGCUAAGAGAUCAGCCUAUGUCCUAUCAGCUUGUUGGUAAGGUAAUGGCUUACCAAGGCUAUGACGGGUAUCCGGCCUGAGAGGGUGAACGGACACACUGGAACUGAGACACGGUCCAGACUCCUACGGGAGGCAGCAGUAGGGAAUAUUGCUCAAUGGGGGAAACCCUGAAGCAGCAACGCCGCGUGGAGGAUGAAGGUUUUAGGAUUGUAAACUCCUUUUGUUAGAGAAGAUAAUGACGGUAUCUAACGAAUAAGCACCGGCUAACUCCGUGCCAGCAGCCGCGGUAAUACGGAGGGUGCAAGCGUUACUCGGAAUCACUGGGCGUAAAGAGCGCGUAGGCGGGAUAGUCAGUCAGGUGUGAAAUCCUAUGGCUUAACCAUAGAACUGCAUUUGAAACUACUAUUCUAGAGUGUGGGAGAGGUAGGUGGAAUUCUUGGUGUAGGGGUAAAAUCCGUAGAGAUCAAGAGGAAUACUCAUUGCGAAGGCGACCUGCUGGAACAUUACUGACGCUGAUUGCGCGAAAGCGUGGGGAGCAAACAGGAUUAGAUACCCUGGUAGUCCACGCCCUAAACGAUGGAUGCUAGUUGUUGGAGGGCUUAGUCUCUCCAGUAAUGCAGCUAACGCAUUAAGCAUCCCGCCUGGGGAGUACGGUCGCAAGAUUAAAACUCAAAGGAAUAGACGGGGACCCGCACAAGCGGUGGAGCAUGUGGUUUAAUUCGAAGAUACACGAAGAACCUUACCUAGGCUUGACAUUGAGAGAAUCCGCUAGAAAUAGUGGAGUGUCUGGCUUGCCAGACCUUGAAAACAGGUGCUGCACGGCUGUCGUCAGCUCGUGUCGUGAGAUGUUGGGUUAAGUCCCGCAACGAGCGCAACCCCCUUUCUUAGUUGCUAACAGGUUAUGCUGAGAACUCUAAGGAUACUGCCUCCGUAAGGAGGAGGAAGGUGGGGACGACGUCAAGUCAUCAUGGCCCUUACGCCUAGGGCUACACACGUGCUACAAUGGGGUGCACAAAGAGAAGCAAUACUGCGAAGUGGAGCCAAUCUUCAAAACAUCUCUCAGUUCGGAUUGUAGGCUGCAACUCGCCUGCAUGAAGCUGGAAUCGCUAGUAAUCGCAAAUCAGCCAUGUUGCGGUGAAUACGUUCCCGGGUCUUGUACUCACCGCCCGUCACACCAUGGGAGUUGUGUUUGCCUUAAGUCAGGAUGCUAAA